rnacentral:rRNA from 1 species
AGUGAACGCUGGCGGUAGGCCUAACACAUGCAAGUCGAACGGCAGCACAGUAAGAGCUUGCUCUUACGGGUGGCGAGUGGCGGACGGGUGAGGAAUACAUCGGAAUCUACUUUUUCGUGGGGGAUAUCGUAGGGAAACUUACGCUAAUACCGCAUACGACCUACGGGUGAAAGCAGGGGAUCUUCGGACCUUGCGCGAUCGAAUGAGCCGAUGUCGGAUUAGCUAGUUGGCGGGGUAAAGGCCCACCAAGGCGACGAUCCGUAGCUGGUCUGAGAGGAUGAUCAGCCACACUGGAACUGAGACACGGUCCAGACUCCUACGGGAGGCAGCAGUGGGGAAUAUUGGACAGUGGGCGCAAGCCUGAUCCAGCCAUACCGCGUGGGUGAAGAAGGCCUUCGGGCUGUAAAGCCCUUUUGUUGGGAAAGAAAAGCAGCAGGUUAAUACCCCGCUGUUCUGACGGUACCCAAAGAAUAAGCACCGGCUAACUUCGU